CGGGGGGAGCAAGCGUUGUUCGGAUUUACUGGGCGUAAAGGGCGCGUAGGCGGCCACCGCAAGUCAAUUGUGAAAUCUCCGGGCUUAACUCGGAAAGGUCAACUGAUACUGCGGGGCUAGAGUGCGGAAGGGGCAACUGGAAUUCUCGGUGUAGCGGUGAAAUGCGUAGAUAUCGAGAGGAACACCUGCGGCGAAGGCGGGUUGCUGGGCCGACACUGACGCUGAGUGCGCGAAAGCUAGGGGAGCGAACGGGAUUAGAUACCCCGGUAGUCCUAGCCUUAAACGAUGAAUGCUUGGUGUCUGGGGUUACAAAGUCCCCGGGUGCCGUCGCUAACGCUUUAAGCAUUCCGCCUGGGGAGUACGGUCGCAAGACUG
rnacentral:rRNA from 1 species